GGACUACCCGGGUAUCUAAUCCCGUUUGCUCCCCUGGCUUUCGCGCCUCAGCGUCAGAAGAGGUCCAGCAGAGCGCUUUCGCCACCGGCGUUCCUUCCGAUAUCAACACAUUUCACCGCUCCACCGGAAGUUCCCUCUGCCCCUACCUCGCUCGAGCUGACUAGUAUCGGAGGCAAUUGUCCGGUUAAGCCGAACGAUUUCACCACCGACUAUGUCAGCCGCCUACGCGCCCUUUAAGCCCAGUGAUUCCGAACAACGUUCGCACGGUUCGUCUUACCGCGGCGGCUGGCAC
rnacentral:rRNA from 1 species